ACCCUGUGCAUGGCACGGUCCUGGAACUAGGGGCGCUGUGGGGAACGAAAGAGAGGAGGCGCCUCCUCUCACAGGAUCCCCAGUCCAGCAAGGAAGACAGAAUAAAUGAGUAAUUAGUGCCAUGAUGAAAACAAAAGAAGAGCAGAGCUGGGGCAGCUUCUGACAGAGAUUUCAGACACAGCUGCUCUGUGGAGGAGGCCUUCAGGCUGAGGCCUGAGUAGCAUGGAGCUCAUGAGAAGGGCCAAGGGCCGUUUCACGUAGAAUCUUGCUGACCAAGCCUCAGGAACCCCACUCGGUGCGCAAGCAAGUUCUGCAGGAGGAUGGUAUCAGGCAUUCAAGCCAGCAUGGGCAUGCAAGAAAACUGGAACUCCAAGAGACAAGAGUUGAAGAAGAG